GAGUGCUUGCACUCAAUUGGAAAGAGGAGUGGCGGACGGGUGAGUAACACGUGGGUAACCUACCCAUCAGAGGGGGAUAACACUUGGAAACAGGUGCUAAUACCGCAUAACAGUUUAUGCCGCAUGGCAUAAGAGUGAAAGGCGCUUUCGGGUGUCGCUGAUGGAUGGACCCGCGGUGCAUUAGCUAGUUGGUGAGGUAACGGCUCACCAAGGCCACGAUGCAUAGCCGACCUGAGAGGGUGAUCGGCCACACUGGGACUGAGACACGGCCCAGACUCCUACGGGAGGCAGCAGUAGGGAAUCUUCGGCAAUGGACGAAAGUCUGACCGAGCAACGCCGCGUGAGUGAAGAAGGUUUUCGGAUCGUAAAACUCUGUUGUUAGAGAAGAACAAGGACGUUAGUAACUGAACGU
rnacentral:rRNA from 1 species